rnacentral:RNase_P_RNA from 1 species
UAUGAUACUAAAAUAGUCGCUUAUUUUUUUUUUAUAAAUAAGAGGAAAGUCCGGACUCCAAGAGCAAUGAUGCCAGAUAACGUCUGGAAGAUGAAAAUCUAUGACAAGUGCAGCAGAAAAUAUACCGCUUUUAUAAAAAAAAGUAAGGGUGAAAUGGUAUGGUAAGAGCAUACCUUUAAUUUUUGGUAACAAAAUUUAAAAUGUAAACUUCCAUCAGGAGAAAGACUAAAAAUAAGUUUUUACUGCUCGUAAUAUUUUUUUAUUUAAAAAAAUAAACUUUAGGUAAGUCGAUUGAAUUAAUAUGUGAAUAUUAAUCUAGAUUAAUGACUAUUUUAAACAGAAUCCGGCUUAACAGUAUUCUAAUUA